UACGGAGGGGGCUAGCGUUGUUCGGAAUUACUGGGCGUAAAGCGCGCGUAGGCGGACCUGCAAGUCGGGGGUGAAAGCCCGACGCUCAACCUCGGAACUGCCUUCGAUACUGCGGGUCUCGAGUCCGGGAGAGGUGAGUGGAAUUCCUAGUGUAGAGGUGAAAUUCGUAGAUAUUAGGAAGAACACCAGUGGCGAAGGCGGCUCACUGGCCCGGUUCUGACGCUGAGGCGCGAAAGCGUGGGGAGCAAACAGG
rnacentral:rRNA from 1 species